GGGCAGCUCCCGCUCACACCCGCAGAGGCCGCUGUUCCCCUUUGUCCUUGGUUCUCCCGGGGACCCGGACUUUAGGGCGCCGGGGUCAUGACCCGCGCCUGCGCAGAGUCCCCGCCUCGCUCUCUCCGGGGUCUCUGGAUCCAGGGGCCACGUGGGGAGCAAGUCAGAAAAUAGCCUCGGUCCGGGAGGGGAAGAGCCUCGGUUUCGGGCACAAAGAAACCACGGCUGUUGUUCGGGGCCUGCUUGGCUUGGAGCCAAACGCUUGUCUCUGUUUGGGCCGGAGAUUCCCGCCUCCCCGAGGGAUUUUUUUAACGAGGUGAAGCCGGCCCUUCUCCCGCCUCUUUGCUUGCGGAGCCACAAUUCCUGAAUGGGCGCGGGCUGCGGCAAACUGAGGCCCGGGAAAGACCUUAGCUCAGAAGGGCCAAGUCUGCCCCCGACCCGCAUCUUGGGUUUGUUGAUACAGAACUUUGUGGGCAAGAGGAAGUCCUGACUUUUCAGUGCCUUGUCCAGAUUUGCCACAACUUUGUCUUUUAAUUUCACGGUUGCCAUGAUUUCCAUAUUGUUUGAUUCUAAAGAAAACAACCUUUUUCAACGACUCAGAAGGUGACUUACGACUCUCGCCAUAGUCCAAGUGCUCAGUGAUAAGAGCCUGUACCACGUGGGGGGCUGUGUCAGAGGAGAAAGGGGAUAGGAAUCAUCUACGGCUUUGGGCUGGUUUGUCAGAUGGACAAAUAAUUCUAAUAUUUGAAGCCAGUGGAGUCAUGACUUGUGACGUGAUAUACUGAGUGUCCUCUUCUGGUUCCAACUGAGAGUGUAAUGUGUGUACCCGGUGCUCAUGGUGCAGGUGAAUCUGGCUGUGGUUUCAAGAGAUACAGAGACUGAGGGAAGCUGAGUCAGCACCGUCUGGAAGGAGGAAGCUGGAGAAAUGAUCCACAAAGGAAGCAAGGGAAAGGUAGCAGCAAAGAAUAGGGUUCUUGUGACUAGUCCUGACCUGAGCGGAGUGUGAACAGUAAGAGGCAGACAAGAGACCAGGCUAUGGUGCAGGGAGUCCCAAGAACUCUACUCUCCAAAGAGCACACAGAGAGGCCAGAGCUUUUUUAGGCCCCUGCUAUUCUUUCUCUGAAACCCUGUGAUGGUCUCUGGAGAAGAAUCUCGGCCCAGAACUGUCAAGUGUGCAGCUUCCUGCCAGGAGGAUCCAAUAAUAGACUCAAGGAAUGAAUGGACAAAUAAGUACUAUUAAACCACUAAUUCAACUAUUUGUGUCCCUGUCAAUGUUAAGAAUGGAUCCCCUAAAAUCCUGCUUUGUUCAUCAGGGAAAGAACACUAGGAAGGUCAUUUUAUUUAACCAGAGUCCUACAGCUAUUAAGCGCCUGGGGCUGGUUUUGAGAUCAGCCUUUCUUGACUCCUGUUCCAGUGCUCGGUCCAUGACUGCACAAAGCUGCCAGGAGCGAGGUUCUCUUCCAUGAAAGGACUUGACUCUUUAUUGCCAGAAUUUCUUUUGACAGAAAUGGAGACCCAGCCCUUUGGAAAGGACUUUGAACAAACAUGGCCACGUGACUUGUGCCAGAGGAGUUGGAAGCAGGGGCUGGGGUGGUCUCUGGCCUCGGGCCACUUGUUGGGCCUUCGGUGACAUCUGGCCUGAUGUUUCAGACUUGAAGGAGGGCUUUGGGGUCUUUUGGGGUCAUAAUUAUCAAAGGGAAAAUGACAAGAUUUAUAAGGGAAUAACAGAUGUCCAGAAAUAUCUACACACACAGAGAUACAUAUAAAGCUUUAUUUCUUCAAAAUGUUUUUUAA
ensembl:lncRNA